rnacentral:rRNA from 1 species
UACGUAGGGUGCGAGCGUUAAUCGGAAUACUGGGCGUAAAGCGUGCGCAGGCGGUUCGUUGUGUCGGCGGUGAAAGCCCCGGGCUUAACCUGGGAAUGGCCGUUGAAACUGGCGAACUGGAGUGUGGCAGAGGGGGGUGGAAUUCCGCGUGUAGCAGUGAAAUGCGUAGAGAUGCGGAGGAACACCGAUGGCGAAGGCAGCCCCCUGGGCUAACACUGACGCUCAGGCACGAAAGCGUGGGGAGCAAACAGG